rnacentral:misc_RNA from 1 species
UCUCCGUUGGUGAACCAGCGGAGGGAUCAUUAACGAUUUAUUCUACUCCCAAACCCCUGUGAACUUAUACCUUUACUGUUGCUUCGGAGGGUUAACGCCCCGGAAGGCCCGCGAGGGCCGCCGGAACCAGUCGCCAGCCGGGGGACCCAAAAUCAUGUAUCUUUUUUAUUGCAUGUUUGAAUGGUAAACAAAACAAAUGAAUCAACACUUUCAAAAAAAGAUCUCUUGGUUCUGGCAUCGAAGAAGACUGAACCACAGUGACAGAGAACACGUCUGAAA